CAGUAGCCACGGUAAUACGUAGGUGGCAAGCGUUGUCCGGAAUUAUUGGGCGUAAAGGGCUCGCAGGCGGUUUCUUAAGUCUGAUGUGAGAGCCCCCGGCUCAACCGGGGAGGGUCAUUGGAAACUGGGAAACUUGAGUGCAGAAGAGGAGAGUGGAAUUCCACGUGUAGCGGUGAAAUGCGUAGAGAUGUGGAGGAACACCAGUGGCGAAGGCGACUCUCUGGUCUGUAACUGACGCUGAGGAGCGAAAGCGUGGGGAGCGAACAGGAUUAGAUACCCGCGUAGUCCCUGUCUCUUAUCC
rnacentral:rRNA from 1 species